CCGCGGCCGAUUAGGUAGUUGCUGGGGUAACGUCCCAACAAGCCGAUAAUCGGUACGGGUUGUGAGAGCAAGAGCCCGGAGAUGGAUUCUGAGACACGAAUCCAGGUCCUACGGGGCGCAGCAGGCGCGAAAACUUUACACUGCGCGAAAGCGCGAUAAGGGGACCUCGAGUGCGUGCGCAAAGCGUACGCUUUUCAGAUGCCUAAAAAGCAUCUGGAAUAAGGGCCGGGCAAGACCGGUGCCAGCCGCCGCGGUAACACCGGCGGCUCAAGUGGUGGCCGCUAUUAUUGGGCUUAAAGGGUCCGUAGCCGGACCAGUUAGUCCCUUGGGAAAUCUUACGGCUUAACCGUAAGGCUGCCAAUGGAUACUGCUGGUCUUGGGACCGGGAGAGGCAAGAGGUACCUCAGGGGUAGGAGUGAAAUCCUGUAAUCCUUGAGGGACCGCCAGUGGCGAAGGCGUCUUGCUAGAACGGGUCCGACGGUGAGGGACGAAAGCUAGGGGCACGAACCGGAUUAGAUACCCGGGUAGUCCUAGCCGUAAACGAUGCGAGCUAGGUGUCACGUGGAUUGCGAAUCCAUGUGGUGCCGAAGGGAAGCCGUGAAGCUCGCCGCCUGGGAAGUACGGCCGCAAGGCUGAAACUUAAAGGAAUUGGCGGGGGAGCAC
rnacentral:rRNA from 1 species